AGCUCAGGCACGAUGGUUAGCUGGUCUGAGAGGAUGAUCAGCCACACUGGAACUGACACACGGUCCAGACUCCUACGGGAGGCAGCAGUGAGGAAUUUUGCGCAAUGGGGGAAACCCUGACGCAGCAACGCCGCGUGAGUGAUGAAGGCCUUCGGGUCGUAAAGCUCUGUCAAGUGGGAAGAAACUAUAUGUGGCCAAUACCCAUAUGUACUGACGGUACCACUGAAGGAAGCACCGGCUAACUCCGUGCCAGCAGCCGCGGUAAUACGGGGGGUGCAAGCGUUAUUCGGAAUUAUUGGGCGUAAAGAGCGCGUAGGCGGCCAGUUAAGUCAGAUGUGAAAGCCCGGGGCUCAACCCCGGAAGUGCAUUUGAAACUAAUUGGCUUGAGUAUGGGAGAGGGAAGUGGAAUUCCAGGUGUAGAGGUGAAAUUCGUAGAUAUCUGGAGGAACACCAGUGGCGAAGGCGGCCAACUGGCCUGUUACUGACACUCAGGGACGAAAGCGUGGGGAGCGAACCGGAUUAGAUACCCGGGUAGUCCACGCCCUAAACGAUGGAUGCUAGAUGGCCGGAG
rnacentral:rRNA from 1 species